rnacentral:rRNA from 1 species
AGUGAACGCUGGCGGUAGGCCUAACACAUGCAAGUCGAACGGCAGCACAGUAAGAGCUUGCUCUUACGGGUGGCGAGUGGCGGACGGGUGAGGAAUACAUCGGAAUCUACUUUUUCGUGGGGGAGAACGUAGGGAAACUUACGCUAAUACCGCAUACGACCUACGGGUGAAAGCAGGGGAUCUUCGGACCUUGCGCGAUUGAAUGAGCCGAUGUCGGAUUAGCUAGUUGGCGGGGUAAAGGCCCACCAAGGCGACGAUCCGUAGCUGGUCUGAGAGGAUGAUCAGCCACACUGGAACUGAGACACGGUCCAGACUCCUACGGGAGGCAGCAGUGGGGAAUAUUGGACAAUGGGCGCAAGCCUGAUCCAGCCAUACCGCGUGGGUGAAGAAGGCCUUCUGGUUGUAAAGCCCUUUUGUUGGGAAAGAAAAGCAGCAGGUUAAUACCCCGCUGUUCUGACGGUACCCAAAGAAUAAGCACCGGCUAACUUCGUG